AAUAUAUUGAGUUUGAUCCUGGCUCAGAAUGAACGCUAUUUAUAUGCUUUACACAUGCAAGUGAUAUAUUAUACAAAAAUGAAUAAUAUCGCGUACGGGUGAGUAUACAUAGAAAAUUUACCUUUUAAUUAAUUUAUUAUAUAUCAAUGUUUUUUUAUAAAAUUUUGUUAAAAUUUAUUGUAUAAAUAUAUUAAUAGUAUAUUAAUAUUUACGUUAAAAGAUAAUUCUAUACAAGAUUAGGUAGUUGGUAAUUAAAUAGAUUACCAAGCCUAAGAUCUUUAGUUGAUUUGAGAGAAUGAUCAACCACACUGGAACUGAAACAAGGUCCAGGCUAAUUUAUUGCCAGCAGUGAGGAAUAUUGGACAAUGAACGAAAGUUUGAUCCAGCAAUAUUAAGUAAAUGAAGACAGCUUUUUUUCGGUUGUAAACUUUUUUCAUUUUUAAUUAAAUUGAAAUUAUUGAAAAAGAAGUCCCGGCUAAUCUCGUGCCAGCAGCCGCGGUAAAACGGGAGGGGCAAGCGUUAUUCAAAAUUACUGGGUGUAAAGGGUUCGUAGACUGUAUUGUAAGUUAUAAGUUAAAUUUAUAAAAUAUUUUUAAUCAGCUUUUAAAACUGCAUUACUAGAGUUUGUAGUAAAAAAAUAGAAUUUUAUAUGAAGAGUUAAUAUUCUGAGAUAUAUAAAGGAAUUCCUUUUUAGUGAAAACAAUUUUUUAUAAAAACUGACGUUGAGGAACGAAAGUACAGGUAGCAAACAGGAUUAGAGACCCUGGUAGUCUGUACCGUAAACUAUGAAUGCUAAAAUUUAAUUAAAUUUAGAUUUUAUAAGUUAACACAUUAAGCAUUCCACCUGAGGAGUAUAAUCGCAAGGUUGGAACUCAAAGGAAUUGACGGGAGCUUACUAUAAGUGGUGGAGCAUGUGGUUUAAUGCGAUAAUCCGCGCAAAACCUUACCAGUUCUUGAAUUAUAAAAACACAAAAGUUAUUUAUAAAAUAACUUAACUUUUUAUAACAAGUGUUGCACGGCUGUCAUCAGUUCGUGUCGUGAGAUGUUUGGUUAAUUCCUUUAACGAACGCAACUCUUAUCUUUUAUUGUUUUAUAAUAAUUUUUUUAACAAUAUAUUUAUUAAAUUAAUUAUUAUUAUUUAAAAAUAAAGAUACAGUUAUCAUAUAAAUUAAAGAAAGGUAAGAAUUAAGUCAAGUCUUUGUGGCCUUUAUGAACUGGGCUACACACGUGCUACAAUGAAAAUUACAAUAUAUUAUAAUAAUUUAAAAAUUAUUAUAUAUAAAAAAUUUUCUUAGUUCGGAUUAUAAACUGUAACUCGUUUAUAUGAAGUUGGAAUCACUAGUAAUCGCAAAUCAGCAUGUUGUGGUGAAUAUAUGUCUUGGCUUUGUACACACCGCCCGUCACAUACAAGAAAUUAAUUUUAUUUGAAGAAUUAAAAAAUAUAAUAAAAUUAAUAUAACAAAAUUAUAUGUUUUAUGUGUUUUUAUAUUUUUAAUUUUAUUGCGAAAUUAAUAACAUGUAUGAAGUCGUAACAAGGUAGCUGUACGGGAACGUGUAGCUGGAAAUUAAAUGAA
rnacentral:ncRNA from 1 species